UUUAUUUGCUGGCUUCUUCAUGAGAUCAGCUCCCCUUAAAUGCAUUAGCUGGUUGCCUUGUGCAGACUUGUCUAUUGGUGUGAUAAUUAUCUACGCGUGGUCAGUCUGCCUGUCUUUAGCACCGCUUCUAACUGUCUGUUUACUCGGACACUUUAUGACAAUUUGACCUCAAAUCAGGUAGGACUACCCGCUGAACUUAA
rnacentral:misc_RNA from 1 species